UGGGGAAUAUUGGACAAUGGGGGAAACCCUGAUCCAGCAAUGCCGCGUGAGUGAAGAAGGCCUUAGGGUUGUAAAGCUCUUUCGCCCGCGAAGAUAAUGACGGUAGCGGGAGAAGAAGCCCCGGCUAACUCCGUGCCAGCAGCCGCGGUAAUACGGAGGGGGCUAGCGUUGUUCGGAAUUACUGGGCGUAAAGCGUACGUAGGCGGAUGCGCAAGUUGGGGGUGAAAUCCCGGGGCUUAACCUCGGAAUUGCCCUCAAAACUGCACGGCUUGAGACCGAGAGAGGUAAGGGGAAUUCCUAGUGUCGAGGUCAAAUUCGUAGAUAUUAGGAAGAACACCAGUGGCGAAGGCGCCUUACUGGCUCGGUACUGACGCUGAGGUACGAAAGCGUGGGGAGCAAACA
rnacentral:rRNA from 1 species